rnacentral:lncRNA from 1 species
GAUUUUUUCAGAAAAAUUAAAAAAAGAAAGUUUUUGUAGCUGUUCAGUUGCCACUAAGAGAUUGCACAGUCAAACCGACUCUAAACACACUAGUUUGGAUUCCUAAAUAUUUUCAAGAAAAGAAUCUUCUCGUUUGAAACUUUGAAUUAAAAUAAAACACAUUUACUCCACAUAUUUUUUAACAAAAAAAGAAAAAAAAAGAAAAGUCACAUCAGGAAAAGUAUCUGAUUUUGUGGUAGCUGAUGUAGUGUUUUCUUGUACGUAACUAGAAUCCUGACAUGUAGUGCACAUUGAUCCAUAGCUUUAACUGACUCUGGGCUUUUGCUGGCCAGAGUUUGUUUAAUACACUCCAUUCUAGGCCAAAUCAGGACAAAAAGAAAGAUCCGAAUCUAGGUAUUUUAUAAUCUGCUUUUUAACCUCUAACCGCAGAGCACGCUGAUCAGACCUCAUAUCUCGGAGGUUUAGGAGACAAGUUAGAACUGUAGCAUGUACCGGUUCAUUUUGUUUUAUUUAUGGUGUCUGUCUGUGUUGGCACAUCUGCGCAUGUGCAAGCGUCGAACGGAAGGAAAUGUAGGCCCGCAAGGUCGCAGCAGUUAGUCCCGCACGUGCAGGCCACCGUCUGCUCAUCUUUCCUUGGCACAGAAGGCACCUCACCUCAUGCCACUCUCCAGGGCACCUGACAGACUGAGCCCCCCACCCCCCAGGGGAAGAUGUUCCCUAUGCUCGGGCAGGGCUGGCGCAGCUCUGCGUGCACACUCUCUUCCUUUCUCUUCUCAUCCCCUUCCUUCCCACCACAAGCACUGAUAACCCUAUGUACUCGUGGGAAGCUUCCUUUCCUGCAGAAGAGAGAACGCUGCAGUCUGGGCUCUAUUCCCAUCCCUGUAGAGAUGGCCCAAACUCACCAAAAUGGUGACACUCUUCAAUUCCAGACCAGACCAUUGGCCCUUCAUGAAUUUCUUCUCUCACAAUGUUUUUUUAAUGCACAGUUUAGGGCAAUCUAAGUACAAAUCAAAAGUCUAACUUGUCUCUUGAUUCCUCCCGUUGUCUAUGUGUAUAUGCGUGAGUAUAGAGGUGGAUGAAAGUGUGCGUGCGUGUGCGUGUGCAAUUUUAUACGUCUGUGUAUUUUCUUAAGUAUCUGUGCACACAUAGAGUGCAUUACUGCCACCUUUUUCAAUAAGCUGGUUUAUCAGUCAUGGCUUCUACAGGUUUUGCUAAUUUAGACUCCUUAUUGCCAUAUCUUUAAACUAACAAUAGAUGAUUUCGGUAUAUAUAUAUAUUUUUUUUUGCUUAUUUAUAGGUGCUGUAUUUUAUUAUCUGAUUGUUAGGAAGGGAUGAAAGGGGCAAAUAUUCUUUAGAGGGAUAGACUGCCGGCAGUAUUGGGUAUAAUUUACAAGCUGUAGCUGUCAUACUGUAUAUUACUGAUGGAAAACUUUUUGACCGUAUUGUGUAUCAUUGAAACUUUUGUCUUAGGUC